GCUGCAUCGGUGUCAUUCGACAUUUGGUGUUUUCCUGAAGAAGUGUUUAGUCUUCUUUAACGUAGUAAUCUCAAGGGCUGUUGGAAAAAAAACUUAGUGCCUUGCUGGAACCAAAAUUCUAGAAUUCUCACUACAGGUGUGAGCAGAAGACCAUCUUGGAUAGUCUCCAGAGGACACUGACGCCAAAGCUCUGCUGGAGAGGCCAGUCCUCGAGCCAAACGCCAACUCGGUUCAGCAGCGGCAGUCCAGUCCACUCAGCAAACACCAUUGACAAACUAUCAUCAGCAGUUCAAUUUGAUCCAGA
rnacentral:lncRNA from 1 species